rnacentral:rRNA from 1 species
CUGCUGCCUUCCGUAGGAGUUUGGGCCGUGUCUCAGUCCCAAUGUGGCCGGUCACCCUCUCAGGUCGGCUACUGAUCGUCGGCUUGGUGGGCCGUUACCCCGCCAACUACCUAAUCAGACGCGGGUCCAUCCUGUACCACCGGAGUUUUUCACACCGGACCAUGCGGUCCUGUGCGCUUAUGCGGUAUUAGCAGUCAUUUCUAACUGUUGUCCCCCCGUACAGGGCAGGUUACCCACGCGUUACUCACCCGUCCGCCACUCAGUCAUCCCGG